AUUGAACGCUGGCGGCAUGCCUUACACAUGCAAGUCGAACGGCAGCAUGGAGAGCUUGCUCUCUGAUGGCGAGUGGCGAACGGGUGAGUAAUGCAUCGGAACGUACCGUGUAAUGGGGGAUAACGUAGCGAAAGUUACGCUAAUACCGCACACGACCUGAGGGUGAAAGCAGGGGAUCGCAAGACCUUGCGUUAUACGAGCGGCCGAUGUCAGAUUAGCUAGUUGGGGAGGUAAAGGCGCACCAAGGUGACGAUUUGUAGCGGGUCUGAGAGGAUGGUCCGCCAGACUUGGACUGGGACACGGCCCAGACUCCUACGGGAGGCAGCAGUGCGGGAUUUUGGACAAUGGGGGCAACCCUGUGCCAGCCAUGCCGCGUGAGUGAAGAAGGCCUUCGGGUUGUAAAGCUCUUUCGGCCGGGAAGAAAUCGCACAGGCUAAUACUCUGUGUGGAUGACGGUACCGGCAUAAGAAGCACCGGCUAACUACGUGCCAGCAGCCGCCGUAAGAC
rnacentral:rRNA from 1 species